CAGCAGCCGCGGGAAUACGUAGGGUGCAAGCGUUAAUCGGAAUUACUGGGCGUAAAGCGUGCGCAGGCGGUUAUAUAAGACAGAUGUGAAAUCCCCGGGCUCAACCUGGGAACUGCAUUUGUGACUGUAUAGCUAGAGUACGGCAGAGGGGGAUGGAAUUCCGCGUGUAGCAGUGAAAUGCGUAGAUAUGCGGAGGAACACCGAUGGCGAAGGCAAUCCCCUGGGCCUGUACUGACGCUCAUGCACGAAAGCGUGGGGAGCAAACAGGAUUAGAUACCCCGGUAGUCCCUGUCUCUUAUAU
rnacentral:rRNA from 1 species